AAAAUCCUGUCCUGUGCGCCAGGAGUUUUUCCCUGAGCCAACACUCUUCUUUUGGGAGUCAGAAUUAAGGUGCAGACCGCACGCCCCUGAAAAGGGGAAGCGGAAAACAUCUUACGACGACACCCACCUAUUGGAAGGGUUCAGAGGGGUUUCUCCAACGGCAGGACGGGAUUUUU
rnacentral:other from 1 species